rnacentral:lncRNA from 1 species
GAUUAAGAUAAUUCUUGAACCAUUUUGAAACUAAAAGAUAAAUCUACAUUUGGUAUGAAGACAUCAAAGUUCGAUUCAGCCGUAGUCCUAGUCAAAAAGUCGAAAUGUAGAAGUCAAAGUCUGUUGUUGAAAGCUGACAAUAGAGCUCUGACCAGUCAGUGAUAUUUUGAUUGUACCUUGGUUCUUAAAGCUCCAAAUUGGAUGAUUCUUGAUGCUUUGGAAAACUAAGUCAAAUAUCUACAACUUUUGUAUUUUAUAGAAGAGCUAUGUCGGCUUCCAACAUCGAGAAAAUAGCAAUUAAAAUGUAUCUGAUAGCUGCAAAUUACUGACCAACGUGCCUUGUUUUCACACAAUCUUUUCAAAUCAAUUCUAGCCAUCAAUUUGGGUUGUAUUUGACCAAAAAUAAGUUGGAAAGAUAAUUCAAGAGAGUUUCAAGAGUCAAUUUUGCCAACUAGAAACAACUCUUGAAUUCUACUUAAAAAACCCCACAUGCGAUUUACAUUUAUAAUUCCUAAAUAUCCCACACGCGAUUUAUCGCAAGUAUACGAAUCGUGAGCGACUAUAGGGUAUCAAGGGUCGAUCCCACAGAGAAGAUUGCAAUUACCGGUGUUUUUCGAAUUCAUUUAUUAUAUAGACUACCAUAACUGUAAAAAUAAUGAAAAUAACACUAGAAAACUCUCCUACAGAUAUGGAAUUCCUUACUACUCUUGCAAAUGAGAUUAUCAGUUAAGUGAAUGUUAUUGUCUUGGCUAAUUAUGGCGCAAUUUCCUCAUGUAUGUGAAACCUACUCUUGUAGUGAAUUAACUAUAUUUGUGACUAAAUCAUAACUACUCUCAUGGUUAUGAAUUAAUUACAAGUUUAUUUCUUCUAUGAAAUUACAUGAAAUUACAAGUUUAUUUCUUCUAUAAAAAACCCCACAUGCGAUUUACAUUUAUAAUUCCUAAAUAUCCCACACGCGAUUUAUCGCAAGUAUACGAAUCGUGAGCGACUAUAGGGUAUCAAGGGUCGAUCCCACAGAGAAGAUUGCAAUUACCGGUGUUUUUCGAAUUCAUUUAUUAUAUAGACUACCAUAACUGUAAAAAUAAUGAAAAUAACACUAGAAAACUCUCCUACAGAUAUGGAAUUCCUUACUACUCUUGCAAAUGAGAUUAUCAGUUAAGUGAAUGUUAUUGUCUUGGCUAAUUAUGGCGCAAUUUCCUCAUGUAUGUGAAACCUACUCUUGUAGUGAAUCAACUAUAUUUGUGACUAAAUCAUAACUACUCUCAUGGUUAUGAAUUAAUUACAAGUUUAUUUCUUCUAUGAAAUUACAUGAAACAAGUCAUAUAGAUGCACUUCUACUCUCAUGAUUAUACUCCCUAGAUUUAUCACUUACUUAAACUAGUGUUAAAUUUCAAUUUUCAUUGCAAACUUAACACCUUAAGAUUAUUAUAAUUAAUGGCCAGUUAAUCAUGAUUAGAUAAGCAAAAGUGAUAAAUAAUUUGUUCAAAAUAAUACCGCCAAGUAGCCAUCACAAACAAGAUAUAACAAGUUCAACCAUAACUCUAGGUAUAAACUUUAACUAAACAUGAAGAAAAUAAAAGAAAGAUUCGUACUUGUAUUAGAAUUAAACAUAAGAUACAAUACAAGAAAUAAAGUGAUAGGAGAAAUGUCACCCAUAUCACUUGAACUUCAUGCUCUCCAUCUUCAUCCUCAACUCCAUCUAAAUUUAGUUACAAAUACAAGAAGGAAACACUACUCUAACUUAUGAACUAAGAAAAAUUAGUGAAAACUAUAUUUCUUGUGAGUUUCUCUAGCCUUCCAAAUUUAUGAAAAUGGUCUCCACAGACUGCCAUUUAUAGAGAAUUCAAGAGGAGUUGUUUUUAGUUGGCAAAAUUGAUUCUUGAAACUCUCUUGAAUUGUCUUUCCAACUUGUUUUUGGUUAGAUACGACUGAAAUUGAUGGCUGGAAUUGAGUUGGAAAGGUUGUGUGAAAACAAGGCACGUUGGUCAGCAAUUUGCAGCUAUCAGAUACAUUUUUAACUGCUAUUUUCUCGAUGUUGGAGGCCGACAUAGCUCUUUUAUAAAUACAAAAGUCGUAAAUAUUUGACUUAGCUUUCCAAAACAUCAAGAAUCAUCUAAUUUGGAGCUCUGAAGACCAAGAUAUGAUCAAAAUACCACUGACUGGUCAGAGCUCUAUUGUCAGCUUUCGAUAGCAGACUUUGACUUCUGUAUUUCGAUUUUUUUACUAGGACUACGGCUGAACCGGACUUUGAUGUCUUCAUACCAAAUGUAGAUCUAUCUCUUAGCUUCAAAAUGGUUCAAAAAUCAUCUUAAUCCAAUAUGUGUAGUCCAAGAUAUAGCCGAAAUACCACAGGUUACCAAAGCUGACUUUUCUUGCAUUAUUUUGUUCUUAAUUGUAUUUCCUAUUUUGUACUUCAUAUUCUAUUUUUUAUCACUUUAAAUCAUCAUCAAUCAUCCAAAUAUCUUCUCAAAUCACUCCAUUUGAUGAUUGAAUCAUUAAACCUACAAAAACAUGAAGUUUUUACCAUAUAAAUGCAAUUUUUCACACUUAAACCAUCAAAUGCAUAUUUUCACUAGAAACCUAGUUUAUUAGCUAUAAACAUGACUAAAACACACCAAAACUAAUUAAUAAAAUAUACUUAAAAUAUCUACUUAUCAUGCGCCUUAAGUAUUGUUAGGGCUUAAGAGAACUUAGUAGCUAAGAAAUUAAAAGCUAAUUCAUGGGGAACUCAAGUUAGAUCUGACUACCUUUUGAAUAUGAAUGGAACAUGUAAAAGUUCAAAUCCAACAAACACCCUAGAUCUGAUAUUACCCUUGACAACAUUAAAUGGCUUCAUGUGCCUGCAAAUCUAAUCUCUUUUACCAUCUGUUGGAAUUACAAAAUAAUUCUAAGCUCAACUAGACACACUAAGCUACCUACCAUAGACAAUUUCCUUUGGCCCAAAUGCUUCUCUUCAAUGAUAUAAUCUAAGUACUUGGUUUACAAAGGGGUUGCUCCUUUACUGGUCAUAUGACAGAUGCUGCAUAUGAUGGAAUUGGUGGUACCGUGAGCUGUAUUUGGAAAUAGUUAAUUAAUGUGUCCAUUUUUAGUGUCCUUUGGCUUGGUAACUAGAAUCAAAUUGAUUGCCUGAUUGAUCUCUUAGAUUUUCCUUGUGAGGCCAGAACCUGUACCGAGGUAGAAGGAUUUGGAUAAAACAUAUUAAAGCAGUAAUUGAUUUAUGUUAUCCCUUUGUGGCUCUGACUGUUAUUUUGGGUUUCAAUCCAAAUUAGUUGUUUAGUUAGAGUUCUGUAGCUGGAGUCAUAGAUCCUCUAAAAUUGGUCUGUGGGGUAUAGUUAAUGUCCUGAAAGAAAUUAGAGUGAAUGGCCAAAAUGGUCAGUAAACUAUUCAAAAUGGCAUGAAUUAGUUGCGGAACCUUUUUUUUGAAUCACUUUCACUAAAUUAAUUGGAAUUAGAAGUUUUUAGGGGCAAAAUGUCCAAAUAAUGCUACCUCACUCUCUUUCCUAUUUUCGCCGUAGUAAUGCCCUCUACCACCUUGACGUCAUCAAGCUAGGUAGAGCAUCAAAAUACCUAGAAUUCCUUCUCCUUCCUCAUCAAUGGAAAAAAAAUCUUUCUCAGUUAUCCUAGUCGUGUUCUUAUAAAAAAUCAAAUCUUAGAUUCACUUAAAAACCUCCAGUUCCCUAUUUUUCUCGUUUAUAUGAGAGUUGCUUAGGAAAUCCAUCAAGAUGAGUCUCCUUAUCUCCACUGCCUGCUUUAGUUCACAAGCAAAUUUCGCACUGAGAAUCCGAGAUUCUUCGACCUCCUAUCCUUCACUUGACAUUCCAUCUAUCAUCCAAACGUGCUAAGGGGCAAGGAAUUUAUUUGCAAUUAGGUAUUAUAUCUCCAAAUAUGAAAAUUUCAUGGAAUUGGGCAACUUCUGGCCAGAUGGCUGGAGUAGGUUCCCUACUGACGAAUUAGGGGAAGUCUAUGCGGCUGUGCUUGCCAAGGCAAGGACGAUAAGGAAAUGACACUGGAUGUCAUGAAGAAUGGUGAUCCUCGAUUGUUCAUCAUCCACUGAUAAGAUGUCCAGUAAUUUGGAUUGAAUAUUCCAAAAGUCACCAAACCUUUAUAGACCCAAUUUUCCUGAUGACGUCAUGGUGGCCUAUGAGGCUUGGAAUCAGGCCCGUUCCAUUAGGAGUGGCCUACUAGAUUAAUAUGUUUGGAACAUUUUGGGCCGCAGAAAAAUUGGGUCUAUGGGGAUGGAAGAUGGAAUGUGAAAAGGUGGAUAAGAGGCCAAAAAACCUCGAAUUCUUGGUGCGAAAUUUGCUUGCGAAUUGAAGUAGGCAAUGGAGAUAAGGAGACUCAUUUUGAUGGGUUUUCUAAACAACUCUAAUGUAAACAGGAGAAAUAGAAAACUUGAGCUUCCUAAGUGAAUCUAAGACUUGAUUUUUAAUAAAGCACAUUUAGGAUAAGUGAGGAAGAUUUUUUUUGCGUUAAUGAGGAAGAAAGAAGGAAUUUUAGAUAUUUGGAUGUUCUACCUAACCUAGUGCAAACUAUUCCUACAAUUGGGUAGAAUGGGUUGGCCUACAUAGCCCUCUACCUCGACCGUAACAUCUCAAUUUUAGUGUUUUGUGGGAUUGUGUUUUCCACCUAGGGUCGCCACAUUUUUUAUAUUUUUUCUUUUCAAUUUUAUUUUUGGUGUCAAACAUUGUGGGAAAAAAUCAUGGGAAUAUUUCUUAAAAAUUUUCAUAUCCUGCAGCGAAGAAUUUUAUUUUUAAAAUGCUUGCUGUCGCCGCAUCUAGUUUGGAUGCCACGACCCCCUUUUUCUAAAUUUAAAAUUAAAAAUUUUUUUAAUCCUAUUUGAAUUUUUUUAUGAUCAACUAGUUUGUUUUUUAAAUCAUCUCUUCCAAUGAACAAGCCCUCCAUAAGAAGAGUAGUAGAAUUGCCCAAAGACUAAUCCAGGACCAUUCCAAGUAAUGUAUCUAGCAUCCAAAUUAUUUCUUUUCACUCUAUUUUCUUUUGGAGACCUGGCAAUUGCCGCAUCAAAAUCAGAUGCAGCGACUGCAAGUUUUUUUUAUUGUUAUUCGCCGCAUCAAACCUUGGAUGUGAUGACUUUAAACUUUUUUUAAAAAAAUUUCCCACAAAAAAUUUUUUCCCCAACAUUCUGACACCCAAAAAAAAUUGUAAAUAAAACAAUAUUUUAUGGUCACCACAUUCCGAAAUGCGGCCAUCCUAAGUGGAGAAUAAAAUCCCAUAAAAUACCAAAAUUGUGAUGUUUUUUGAAACAAUCAUUAUUGGUAGAAAUUCGCCCUGAAUAAGUUUUGAACAACCUAAUUGUAUCAACUGUCAAUCACAUGCUAGAGCAUCUGAAAACCUUGAGCUGGAAGACCGGCUAACGUUUAGAUUUUUUAUGGGUAUAGGAUUUUGAAGAUCACCAUUUCCUUGUCUAGCUAGGGAGAUAUGAUACCACUGCUUCUCAACUUACUGUUUACCAUAGAAGAAAAUCUCUUGCUAUUUGUUCUGAGAUUUUAAUGGACCAACUUGGGAGUUCACUACCAACUAAACAAUAUCAUCAAUCCUUUUUGUGGCCAAGACUAACUAUUAGAAUCUCCUAGCAUGUUUAUUUGGUGUGAUUGUUUACAUUUUUUUAGCUUUUUACUUUCAUUUUAUACAACCAAUAGAAAAUUUAUGCCCUCUCAAAGUUAGUUGUUCAAGGUGGAUUUUUUUUUUUCACCACCUUUAACAACUUUUUUGUUUGUACUUUCAGAGUUAGGUAAUUUUGCAAAAAACUAGAAGGGAAUUGAACUAGCAGCACUAGAGUAUUGGGAAUGAUAAUAACAGAAGUUUGAAGGAGAAGCUUCUAGGCUGUGUGAGAGCUGAUACAACUUUUUAGGUAAUAACUGAUCUGUUAAAUUGCUGAUUACUUAUAGGGCUGGAAUGGUUGGUAACAUUGCAUAAAACUAGAAGGGAAUUGAACUAGUGGCACUAGAGUGUUGGGAAUGAUUAUCGCAGAAGUUUGAAGGAGAUAAGCUUCUAGGUUGUAGGAGAGCCCCAAGAGAGCUGAUACAACUUUUUAGAUAAUUACUCAUCUGAUAAAUUGCUGCUGACUUAUAGGGCUACAGACUCAUUUAUUACCCCAAGGUGACAAAGACCACAAUGCCCUCAAUGAGGAACAUGCCUAGCACAUUUCCACCGGCUAUACAAAACAAUUUCUAGAGUCCAUCUUAAGUGCUGAAUCGGCAUGCGUGGGAUAGUACUCAUUCUUACUUCUUGUGGUUACCAUCCAAUUUUCUUCUACCAUUGUAUUUUCAAGAAUGGGUAUUGGUACCAUAGUUCCAAGAAUGAGUACUAGGAAAGUUGGAUAGUUGCUAUAAGGAGUAAGAAUGAGUGCUAUUUGGCAUGUGCUGUUUCAGCAGUUAAGAUUUUCCCUAGCUUUUAAAACAACUGUUGCUUUAGAAACAAAGCAUGACUAACAACAUAACAACUGAUCCAAAAACAGUCUUUACUUUAGUGACAAAGCAAAAGGAGGACACAACUGGUCAGAAAUUUCCACUCAAAGAAAAUUUGACCACCUUUGAAUAUUGACAGCAGCAUCCAAUCUCAUAGAUGGUUUAGAAGCCACCAAGUUAAGAGGGAAGACAUUGUGCUGAAAGUUGAAAGUGUGAUGCUGUUAGACUAAUUUCUUGAAAUAAUGGUGAAAAAGUUGCAAAAAUGGGGCAAAUAAUUGCUUUUAUUAACAAUUUUUUUAAAAAAAAAAAAAGAAGAAGAGGCCGCCGCUUGUGAGACGUGGUUGCUGCAAGUUGCAGUUUAGUCCCCACUGCAUAGGAGGGCCAAUGGACAAUUUUUAGCCACCAUGUCUCUCAUGCAGCAGCCUUUUAUUUAAAUAUAAAUAAAUAAAUACGUCCCAUAUCAUUGAAGACUGAUUAGUCCCAUGUCUCUCAUGCAACUGCUCAUGCUGAAGACUUGAUUUAAUAAUAGGGACUCUUCUUUUUUUUUUUUAAAAAAUAAUAAUAAAGGGCCGCAUUAUGAGAGACGUGCAGCUGCCAAACAUUGCAAUUUAGUCCCUCAGCGCAUGUGCUAUGUAGCGAGGGACGAAAUUGCAAUGUUUGGCAUCAGCACGUCUCACGUGCAGCAGCCUCUCCUUUUUUUUUAUUGUUAAUAAAAAAAAUUUAUUUUGGCCAGUGCAUCUUCGAGUUGCAACUGCCGUAGAUGGAGAAACCCCUUGCAAUUUGCCCCAUUUUUGUGACUUGUUUUUUACCAUUAUUUCAAGAAAUUAGCCUAUACUACUAUGGUGAUUGUAAGUUUUAUUGCAGGGGAUCAUAUGUCUUUGAAUACCUGGGAAAAACCUUUAUAAGCGUUUAGUGCUAACAAUGCAGAAUUGGGGGGGAUAUGUGGCACUAAAGAGAGCAAAACAAUAAAAUGAAGCUGCACAUGCUAGAUAUGUACAAUGUGGGUGUUAUUACCGGGAGAGUUUGAAGGCUAGGCACCAAUGAAAAUUGAUAUCAUAAAUUUAUCUGUCUACUUUUCCGAAGCGAAUUGAAAAUUUUGGUGAGCUUAUAAUUGACGGAAAAAGUUGUAUUAAUAUUUUUUCUUGGACCAGUAAAUUUAAAUACAAGACAUAACUAUAUCCUCAAAAUAAUAGAUUGCAUGGGUGGAGAAGAAUACUAUUAUGGUAAACAAUGUGCUCUCUUUUCUUGUGGUUGUUACAAAGAUAGUUGUUACAUAUUUCCUUCUUAGGUACUUGGAAAAAAUGUGUACCCUUGGAAGUACUUAGUGUGGAUUCUCAUCCUUCAGGUGAACAAGAGUCUAAAUGCAUGGGUCCCCAUAAAUAUAAUUGGUUGAAUACCCUGCUUUCUGCACACCUACCCUGCUAAGGAGGGAAGUGAUCACAGAGGACUUCCUAGGAUUGACUUUCCCUUGCACUUUGUUUUAUGUGAGAGGUGAUUAUUCUGGUAAAUCAAACAGAUAUGAUUUCAUGCAGUGGACCAACAGAAUUGCCCUAAAUUUUGGCCUGAAGAUCUAAAGAGUUGAAUAAGUGAAGGUUUAUAGGAGUGAGCAAACUGUAGAUUCGCGAAGAAACAAUUAUGGGUCAACUAAAUAAAACAGAAGUAAAUUAAUUAUGUGCAAGAUGAGAAACAUAUCCUAGAUGAUUAUCGACUGGUCAGAGUGGUCUAUAUACUGGGUUUGGGACACUACCUUGAAUGCAGUGUGUCCUUGCUGACCUUGCCUAUACCUAUGAUGGAUUCUCCUUUCAUUUAUUUUUGAAGUUUAAUGAAUUUGGUGUAAUUAUCUGGAUAGAAGUUGUGAGCUGUAUCCCUCUAAUCAGCUUCAAUCCUUUUCAUGUAUAUCAGCAGCUGCUUUAAGUGGCAUGAUAGACUUUUAUUAUAUCAUGUGAUGCUCUCUGAAAUGGUUGCGCGGAAACAAAACAGUUUGAUUAGUUGCUACUCUAGCAAGCGGCUAACUUCAACAGAGUUCUUAGAAUGGAAAGGUUUCUAGAUCAUAUUUGGAUUGCAAAAUGAUUCGCAGUCUAUGGUCACUACCAUGAUGACCGUCUAUAGAUUUUAUGUUUUGUGUAGUAAAUUCUUCAUACAUUCAAGGAACAUUUCUUUUGUUAUUACAGUUUUUUUUUUUUGUGCAAAUUCAUUUUCUUGGGAUGUCCUGCAUUUUGUUCUUAGUUUUUCAGCUUUUUUGGUCUGACUAGGCCGCUUACUUGGACAGGAUAUCAAUGCUGUUAACGUUGAGCAUAAUACUCCUCUUCAUUGGGCUUGCCUAAAUGGGCACAUUGAGGUACUACUAGAUAAUUAUUUGAUUCCAAAACUGCUUGAAAUCUAGAAAGUCGUGGUUUGUAGUUUUUACUUUUACUGAUCUCUUGCCAGGUUGUCAAGUGCUUAAUUCUCGCAGGAGCCAAUGUCUCUGCUCUGAACAGGUAAUAUUUGGCUUUGUUAUGCAGGUUCUUGGUUUCAUUGCUUUUUGAGCUUAUGAACUCUCUUUCCUUGCAACUUUUGUGUUGGAUGUUUUCAGCCAUGAGAGGACACCCGUGGACGAAGCAGUUACUGGAGGAAAGAUGGACGUCGUUGAUGCCAUUAAUGAAGCUAUGGCCCAAACUGAACUCACAGCCACUCAGGUUUCCUGAUUGAAAUAGUAAAAUGGCAUAUGCUAUGUAGUAUAUUAAACACACACUUUCGCUUUAUCCCUUGUUAGGUACGCUUACGUUUUCUGCAUGUCCUAGUUCACAAGGUGGUGUGGCAUUUAGUUAAAGAAUGGUAACCAUUUUGUAUGAGAUAUUUGAUCAGUAGUGUUAAAAGAGAGAAGGGAAAACAGAAAAACAGAGAGAUACAGAGAAUUUAUAUGAUGAUUGCAAAGAAAAACUGGCUGAACCAUGAUUAUGGUUUUUUUUUUUUUUUUUGUUUUGUUUAUGAGAGCAUGGUAUUCACCAAAGUUGAUGAGUUAGAGGAAUAAAUAUUAACAUAAAGGUAAUCCAAAAUCAAGAGUUUUUAUGCUAGAAUUUAGAACCUCUUAACUCAUCAACUUUGGUUAUUACUCCACCAGACUAAUAUUAGAAAGUUGAGAAAUUAGACUCAAGUAUGGUGGUGUAAGUUUACAAAUAAUAAUAGGCAUUUAAGGGCUCGGUUGACAAAAUUAAGGCACUUUUAAACUUUUUCAAUUUCUUAUCUUACCUUUUCAACCCACAACAUAGAAGUACUUUUUGUAUGCAUAACACUAAAAUUGUCGUGUAAUUAAAGUUAAUCAUUUGUAAUUGUUGAAUUUUCCAGAAUUAAAAGAUUUUAAAAAUCAUGUUUUAGAAAAUGCUAAUGGCAAAAUGACACGCAAAAUGUGAAAAUGUCGUUUCUCAUUUCUACUGAACAUACAACUUGGUGUUCAAUCAACAGGUGCUAGAAGUCGUGGUUUUAGUUCAACAUUAUCUUUUAGACCCUAAAUUUGGAAGUUUUCUUUUAGACUUCUUUUUUUUACAAUAGAUUUCAACAUCUUUAACAUUGACAAUGGAGCUCAUCAUCUUAGUCAAUGAGUUAAAAAAAAAAAUAGGUUGAACAUGAAAGCGGCCAGAAUUCUAUUGCGUUCUACAUCCUUCGGGGAACAGAUGGCAAUAAUGAUAUUUUUCCCACAAAAAUUAAUUUCUUAAGUGCUGCGCGCCAAUACGCAUAUUUUGAUACCUAAGGUGCUCAUCGUGAUUCCCCAUAUUUAUUCAUUGCCCCUCAUAUUUUGGGACUUUCCUGAUUUCUCCUCACACUUUCAAAAGAAUAUUCUACAGCAAGACCGUGUCCUGCAAACCAAAUCAUGAAGAUGGACUAACUUCUACUUAGUUAAAUGGUCAUUUUUUUGGUUAGGUUCUGUUUUGGAAAUUUUAAUUUUGUUUCAAGGGUUUCAAUAAUAUUGGUAGGUUUUCUUGACUUAUGAUUCACAUCUUUUGGGAUUUCAAUAUGGUUUCCAAUUGUCAAAUUUUUAUUUAACUUUACCAGAAACUCUAGACCUUCUUGCAACUAAUUUUGAGAAGUUGUCACCCUGGACUUUCCCGCCUUUGUGCAAUAAAUUGAACACAAGAAUCUUGAAGUUGAAGCAAAGGCUAAAUCUGAUGCACAUGGAAUAUAUGGAAGGAUUUCUCGAGCGAAUGCUCAAUACACUACUAUUAUUGCGUGAAUACAUAUAAUCACUGUUAUUGGACCCCUUGACAUUUUUCCAAAUUAAUUACACUUUUCAAAAAAAAAUAUUUGAAAAUUUUUUAACGAAUGUCCAUUACGCACCAGUUAGUUAGUCAAACUGUAGAGAGUCAGUUCACAAUAGAUACAAAUAUAGAUACAAAUAUAGAUGAUUAUAUGAAAUAGAGUAACAACGAAGCAAUUGAUAACAAAGGUUAUAACCGGAUUUUGUGCCCUUCCAGAAGGUCAUCUGCAGACUAUUUUGAAAAUGGAAACCAAAAAUUAGAGUUCAAGUGAAAAGCAUAUAAUCAAUAACAUUAUGCAGAAAUUGAAUUGUUCUUCCCCUACGUAAUGAUGAACAUGCAGACUGUUUUAGAAUAUCCCACCCCCUACGCACAGUUUUUUAUGUCUAAAUUUGGAAGCGGUCUUUUAGACCGGAACACUGCUUCUUUUUGACAAUGGACUUCAACAUUUUUUUUUUUUUGGACAACAAACUUCAACAUCUUUAUCAUAGAUGAUGGAGCUCAUUAUCUUUGUCGCUAAGUUAACACAUUGGACAACAGGUUCAAUAUGAAAGCAUCCAGAAUGCUACUGCGUCUACAUCCUUCCGGCAACAAAUGACAGAAGUGUGUACACUAUUACUGUUAGAUUCAUGACACAUGUGCAAAAGUUAAAUUUUAAACUCAAAUUUUACAUAGUUAUCAGUCAUCCAAAACUGACAAAGAUUAAUCCUAAUAUUUUUCAAGUAAAUUAGUUUCUCAUUCGCUACUAGAAAAAAUUUAAAAAAAAAUUCUCAAUCACUACUCGUUAAUGCACAUAUUUUGAUACCUAAGCGUUCAUUGACCCUCUAAUUCUGGCACUUUCCUGAUUUCUCCUCACAUUUUCAAAAGAAUAUUCAACAGCAAAACCAUGUCCUAGAAACCAAAACAUGAAGAUGGACUAACUUCCAAAUUUAGACAGGAUAGGUUCUAAGACUUUUGAGGUUCACCUAUUUUGGGAUUUUUAAUUUGGUUCAGUGGUUUUAAAUUUUUAUAUUGUCAGGUUUUCUUGACUUAUAAUUCACAUCUUUUGGGAUUUAAAUUUGGUUUCCAAUUGUCAAAUGUUCAAACUUUUACCAGAAAACUCUCUAUUUCUUAUUCCAAUUAAUUCAAGAACCAAUCUCCUAGGACUUUCUCAUUUUGUGCAAUUAUCAGGCACAAGAAUCUAGAGAUCACAUGAAGCCAGAGCCAGGCUAAAAUAAGGAAACAAAUGUCAUAUUCAGAUUUGGUGCCCUUCCAGAGUAAAGAUCAUCUGCAAACUGUAUUAAAAGUAAAAACCAUUAAUUUGCAGAUUUUUUUUUAAAAAUUUUUUAAUUAAUUUUUUUCAGUAGUAGAGAGAUUGGAUUUAAGAAGCAGGGAGGAAAAAAGAAAAUCUUAAUUGUAAAUCUCUAAUUCCUAAAACCUUUAACUUUGAUCAUUACAUCAAAAACCUCCUCGACGUAGAUCAACUUAAUUAAUAACAUUAUGCAGAAAUGAAAUUUUUGUUCCCCUAUGAAGUAAUGAUCCAGUAUGUAAAUGGUCCUAUUUGCAGUUUCACAUGAAAUUUUGAACUUUUGCAAAUAAAACACGAGUGGCCCUACCUUUUAUCCGACAUCAAAUAGAAUAACCCAAUUUUGAAACAAAAAUAUCAUUACUCAUUUAUAUAAAACCAUACAUGAUUUUCUAUUCAUCAAACAGGUUGCAGAAGUCGUGGAUUUAGUUCAACAGCUAAUGAGUAGUUGUUUGAGAUUCUAUGCCAUGUUGUCGGUUUGGAAGAAACAGCCAACUGAUCUCACCAACACAAUUCAAAUUAGUUCAUCAGUAAUUGUUGCCUUGGAGGGUGUGCUCGGGAGGGGGAUGGAUUUCCGUCCCACAUAUCGAAAGAUUGUGGGUUUUUUAAUUUAGGUUUAAGGUUCUUAGCCGCACUUCCUGUUACCAAUUAGUUGAAUGGUGUUGAUUGGUGGGUCUCCCCUAGAUUAGUCUCUGACUCAAUUUGGCGAUGACUUUUUGAGCGUUCUAAUCUAAUUAUGUGUGUGUGUUUCUUCUGUCUAUGGAAAAAAAAAAAAAAUUUGUUGCCUUGGCAAUGUCGAAAUGGGAUUUUAAAAUAAUUACACCUACAUUUAUUACUUCUUUUUGCAUAAAAAAAAAUCUUUUCAACUUCAUUUCACUUUAUUAAGACUUGAUUACUACUUAAUUAACAACUGUCUAACAAACACAUGGUAGGCAAAUCUAUGUCUAAAUCAUUGAACCUGUGAUUUGAAGCAAAGUCAAAUACUUAGCCAAAUCUGUGACUUCUUAUGGUAUUAAUAAAUUAUUACAUGUACAGCUAAUGCGCUUGAAAUGUUGGACUGAAAUAUUACAAUAUACACAAAUUAAUGUACACAUGCUCACAUUCACAUUUGUUGUUGUUUUGCAUUUUGACACUUCCAAUCUCAUUUCAAUUUUGUCAAAAGCACCAUUUGUUUUCUCAUAUAAUUUAGUAAAAGAAAACUAUAUAGUUAGAAUGAUGGCGGAAAUGUGAUUAACAAAAUGAGAGUACAAAUAACAUUUCCCUUUAUCCAAAUACAAACUCUCGGUGUCCUACUUAACAAGUGCCAAUGAGGCAUCCUGAUUAGAAAAAUUCAUGCCUUAAUCACUAAACUUGUGAUUUGAGGCAAUGUAAAAUGCUUGGCCAAAUUUAUGAUUUUUCUGUGGUAUAAAUUUAUUGUUACAUGUACAGCUAGUAAGCUUGAAAUGUUGGAUCUAAAUUGGAAAGUCAACUUGUAGACUUAAACAUUUUUAACAUAGACAAUAAUGAAGCUCAUUAUCUAGCUCAAUAAAUUAAUACAUACAAGAAUAGGUUGAAUAUGAAAGCCACCAGAAUUCUAUUGCAUCUUAUAUUCUUCAGCCAACAAAUGGCAAUAAAUUAAUUUCUCAAUUGCUACUCAUUAACGCUCACAUAUUUUGAUACCUGAAUUGUUCAUCCUCACAUUCACUGCCCCUCUAAUUUUGGCUCACAUUUUUCAAAAGAAAGUUCUAUAGCAAAGCCAUGUCCUGAAAACCAAAAUAUGGAGAUGGACUUUUAGUUCUACUAAGUUAAAGGUUUGUCCUUUGAUUAGGGUUCUAUGACUUUGAAGUUCACCUGUUGUGGAAUUUCUUAUUUGGUUUCAAUGAAUUUAAUAAUGGAAUUUGUAUGACUUAUGACUGCAUCUUUUUGGAAUUCAAUUUGGUUUCCAAUUGUCAAUUUUCAAACUUUUACCAAGAAACCCUAGGCCUUCUUUCACUUAAUUUUAGAACUAGUCCCCCAGGGCUUUCUGGAUUUGUGCAAUUACUAAAAACAAGAAUCCAGACAUAAAAUGAAGCUCAAGCCAGGCUACAACUCCAUGCACAUGGAUUUACAUAGACAUUUGGAGAGGGUUUACAUAGAGAUACAGACACACAGGAUUACAUGGAAUAGAGAAACAUAGAAGAAGAAGAAAAAAGAGUAAAAGGCUAGGUGCCCUUCCAGACACUGCUAAAAGUGGAAACCACAAAUUUGAGAUCAAGUGAAAAGCAUAUAAUCAAUAACAUCAUGCAGAAAUGAACUUGUACUUUCCCCUAUGUAAUAAUGAUCCUGACAGGAGAGGACGUAAUCUAGAACGAACUUGUACAAUUUCUUGAAUUCUUUCAGAUAAUUGGGAAGGCAAGCAGGCAAGCAACACUCUUUACUAGGCAUGAAUUAAGAGUUCCAAUCCCAUGGUUUGAGAUUCCCUAUUUUUUCGAGUAUUACAUUGCAUGUUAUGUAUAGAGGUAUUUACAUGGAUAUAAUGCUGUAUAAGAAGAAAUCCAGGAAGAGCAACCAUGGACUCUUCAGAGAAAUCUAAGAAGAUGGUCCUGGCACCAUUGGAGAACAACUACCAACUAGCACAAGUACAGGCUGGGUGGGGAAUGAAUGUUGUCGAGCCAAGAAACUAAUUGCUGAGUAGAAGGCCUUGCUUUGGGGGAGUCACUCAAGCAAAGGCAAGCGAUCUCAAGAACCCACAACAAUUCUUCAGCAUGUUCUUUUUCAUAAAUAAAUGGAUCAAAAACUUCGGUUUCCCUUUUAUCCUUCUUCUGUUGAAUAACCCAAGAAAUCAAAUCCCGAUUUUCUUUUGGCUUGCACAUAUCCAUCGGCCUCUUGCCUGUAAGCAGCUCUAGCAGAACAACCCCGAAACUGUACACAUCACCCUUGUAGGUUGCAACUGAAGCUUGGCCAUAUUCAGGAGGAAUGUAACCUAAUGUCCCAACAAGAUCAGUAGUCACAUGUGUGUCAUACGGAAGAAUAAGCCUCGCCAGACCAAAGUCAGCUAGGUGAGCUUCAAAAUUCUCAUCCAAGAGAAUAUUACUAGACUUAAUAUCUCUAUGAAGGAUAUGAGGCUCACACGACUGGUGCAAGUAAGCGAGCCCUCUAGCAGCACCUUGAGCAAUUUGAAGUCUGCAAUCCCAAUCCAAGGAGGAAGGCCCAUCGAUUUUUUCAUGAAGCCAAUAGUCCAAGCUUCCAUUUUCCAUAUAAGAGUAUAUUAGGAGCCUGUCAUUCCUGUAAAUGCAAUAACCCUGAAGAAGAACCAGAUUUGGAUGCUGUGCUCUUGAGAGUGUUUCAACUUCCGCUUGAAAUUCUCUAUCCAUCUGUCCACCAUCUCCACAAAGCCGCUUGAUCGCAACCUUCCUACCAUCAGAAAGAAUGGCCUUGUACACCAAACCAAAGCCACCACAACCAAUAAUGUUUGACUGAUCAAAACUGUUAGUGGAUUUUACAAGGUCAUCAAGUGAAAUUGCUUUACUACUACCCUUGUUUUGGAAAAGAACCACAAGACUCGACCCAAGUUCUUCCAAGUCCUUCUCUGAGUCAUCACCCUCCUUUUCUGGAUCAAUUGCUUUCCUCCUGAUAGACCAUAAAGCAAUCAAGAGAAAGAGAGCAAUAAGAAAUACACUUCCAAAGCCAAUCCCAAUUGCCAUGCCAAUUAUAGUGCUUCUGGGUGUCUUUGCUCUUCUAACUGAUGCAUGGGGAACUUGUUUGCCGGUAGGACAAGAAGUAUUGUGUGAAUCAGAACAAAGACCUGGGUUCCCUUCAAAGCUUGAUGUUGGAAACAAUAGAAACUGGCCUCCGUUUGGGAUCCCCCCAGAGAGUUUAUUGUACGCAACGCUAAACGUUGACAGAAAGCUGAGGUUUACUAAAGAAGGGGGUAUUGCUCCAGACAGAUUGUUAUGGGACAAAUCCAAACAUUCAAUGCUCGUCAUACCUGACAAUUCGCUUGGAAUGAUGCCUGAUAAAUUGUUAAACUUCAGGUCCAAAAAGUGUAACAUUUUCAAAUUCCCAAACUCUGGCCAAAUUUGUCCAGUGAGGAAGUUAUUUCCAAGCUCCAAUGUUGGGGGAAGGCUCAAAAUUUGAUUAUACUGUAACCCUCCAGCACUUACAUUUCUCUUCACAAAAAAUGGGAGAUCAGGAGGAGGCUUAUCCAAUGUUUUACUCUUAGAAAUGAGACUGUUCAAUUGAGUAAGUUCCUUCGGAAUUUCCCCAGUCAAAGAGUUAUUGGACAAGUCCAAGUAAAAUAGAAACUGAAAACCCCCAAACCAGGAUGGAAUUGCUCCUUCAAGCUGAUUCCACGAUAAAUCUAACACUUCCAGCCUCUCAGAAUUAGUCAACCACAGGGGAAUAGUACCUGUGAGUUUACAAUUUGCAAUGACAAGAGCUCGAAGCUUGGUAAACCGCAGAGCAGAAUCAGAUGGCAACUGCUCAUUAUGAAAAUUUAGAGUAAGAAACAAAGUCGUUAAGUUCUUACAGUGCUGCAAAGUUGCAAGAGCAGAUGACAGGUUAUGAAUACUCGUGUUUGAUAUGGAAAGGUAAGAAAGUGUCUGAAAAUUCUUGAAGGUUUCUGGAAUUUGGCCAGUGAAGCUGUUUUUUGCUAGAUUUAUCGUUCUCAAUUGUGGGCAGGUAGGAAGAUUAUCAGGGAUUGCUCCACGAAACUGAUUAGUACCCAAGUCAAGUGAAACCAGACUAGUCAUUGCAGCACAAUUAAGAUCAAGUGUAUCACCUAAAGAAUUAUUUCUCAAACUAAGGGUAGCAACAGUUGGGGAAUUUGCCAAUGACAUAGGAAUUCUACCAAUGAAUUUAUUCGAUUGAGCUGCGAAGUAAUUUAACUUCCCAAAGCGAAGAAAAACAUCAGGUAAAUUGCCUGAGAAUUCGUUCAAGGAAACAUCAAGGAAAACAAGACUAGAGAGGUUACCAAUGUUGGCAUUCAAGUUCCCUGAAAAUUUGUUAUCCUGAAGGGUCAAUCUCUCCAGUUUUGACAGAUGAAACAAAUCUUCAGCUAAACCACCAGAAAGAAAAUUUGAUGCAAGACAAAGAUCCUCCAAAGAAGUACAGUUCCCCAGUCCUGGUGCAAGAUUUCCACUGAAUUUGUUAGCUCCCAUCUUUAAGGCCUGAAGUUUGGUUGAAUUAUUGCAAAUUCCCACAGGAACUGGACCGCGAAAUGAAUUCUCUGAAAUGUUGAAGACUUGAAUUGAAGGCAGGCUGAUGCUCAUUGGAAACGAGUCAGAAAAUCCAUUGCAGCUCAAGUCCAAUACCUCUAAAUUAGGCAAGUGUAAGAGUGUCGAAGGUAUUGAACCUUUGAGAUAAUUUUUGGACAAAUUGAGUGUUCUAAGCUCACUCAAAUUGCCAAAAGACUCAGGCAACUUUCCCGAUAGCCUUUUCUGAGGAACCUCCAACUUCACGACCCUGCCUGAGGAAGAAUUGCAUCUAAUUCCAGCCCAGUUGCAGCAAUUGGGAGAGGAUGAAUUUGCAUCCCAACCCACAAUUCUUGAGCUUGAAUCCAAUCCACCCAAGAAAUCCACUAAUGCCUUCAUAUCAUUUGGGUUGCACGUAACAUUCUGAGAACUUACAUCCAAAGCUUGCAAUGAAAAGCCAAGAAACACAAAGAUAAUCCACACCUCCCGCAUCUCUGAAAACAGAAAAAGAGCAACUUUUUUCCAACUUACACAAACCACCUUCUAUUUAAUCAAGAUUUUCUGCUAGUCAUCUUGGUCCUCUUACCACAAACACAAAACCAAGAAAAAAAAAAGAACAAAAUAAAUGGCGGGUUCGGGUUCUUCUCUCUUGGUAAAAAUGCUUGUGGGUUUUUCUUGAAAUGGAAAAUUAAACAAUAGAUCGAACAGCAGAGUAGAGACAGAGAUCCUUUAGGCAGGCUGAGUCGAACUAUUGAAGGAAAAGGGGAAAAUGGGAUAAGAGGGAAGUAUACAAAGGGAAAAAAAGAAGAACGCAAAAGAUUGGGGGCGAAGGGUGAAGCUUUUGACUUCAAAAACCUCUUUUUUGGUCCAUUAAAGGCUGCUGUGACUCUCUGUCUAUCAGUUUCUUCCCCGCCACAGGCACCCAAGGAGAGAUAAAGAGAC